rnacentral:rRNA from 1 species
UGCCAGCAGCCGCGGUAAUACGUAGGCAGCAAGCGUUGUUCGGAGUUACUGGGCGUAAAGGGUGUGUAGGCGGUUGCUUAAGUUUGGUGUGAAAUCUCCCGGCUCAACUGGGAGGGUGCGCCGAAUACUGAGUGACUCGAGUGCGGGAGAGGAGAGUGGAAUUCCUGGUGUAGCGGUGAAAUGCGUAGAUAUCAGGAGGAACACCGGCGGUGUAGACGGCUCUCUGGACCGUAACUGACGCUGAGACACGAAAGCGUGGGUAGCAAACAGGAUUAGAUACCCUGGUAGUCCACGCCCUAAACGAUGCAUAUUUGGUGUGAGUCAUUCAGUUGAUUCGUGCCGGAGCUAACGCGUUAAAUAUGCCGCCUGGGGAGUACAGUCGCAAGGCUGAAACUCAAAGGAAUUGACGGGGGCCCGCACAAGA